rnacentral:rRNA from 1 species
UACAGAGGUCUCAAGCGUUGUUCGGAUUCAUUGGGCGUAAAGGGUGCGUAGGUGGUGCUGUAAGUCAGGUGUGAAAUCCCGGGGCUCAACCCCGGAACUGCACUUGAUACUGUAGUGCUUGAGGACUGGAGAGGAGAUCGGAAUUCAUGGUGUAGCAGUGAAAUGCGUAGAUAUCAUGAGGAAGACCAGUGGCGAAGGCGGAUCUCUGGACAGUUCCUGACACUGAGGCACGAAGGCCAGGGGAGCAAACGGG